rnacentral:rRNA from 1 species
UACGUAGGUGGCAAGCGUUGUCCGGAUUUACUGGGCGUAAAGAGCGCGCAGGCGGUCGAUCAAGUCGCGUGUGAAAGCCCCCGGCUCAACUGGGAGGGUCACGCGAUACGUGAUCGACUCGAAGGCAGGAGAGGGUAGUGGAAUUCCCGGUGUAGUGGUGAAAUGCGUAGAUAUCGGGAGGAACACCAGUGGCGAAGGCGAACUGACCUGCCUGGUUCUUGACGCUGAGGCUGCGGAAAGCUAAGGGGAGCAAAGCGGGGAUUAAGAUGAUCCCGAG